GUUACGACGACCCCAUCGUAAGUCAAAAAUGGCCAAGCCUACCCAGGAGUCUUAAAGAAUGGUGAUAAUUUAGCAAAACAGAGCAAUUUACAGUACCGUACUGUAUAAACUAUAUGCGUACAGUACAUCCCGGCAGCGUCCCAACGUACAGUAUCGUACCUCGUACGCUGCUGCGUUUGCCUGCCGCGCGAAAUGUAAAAUAUUUAACAAUUUUGUCAUAUCGCUAUCGCCAUCGUAAGAUCGAAAUAUCGUAAGUCGGACCAUCGUAAGUCGGGGACUACCUGUACACAAUUCAUAUUGAUUUAGCUAUGUCAAUAUAUUUAAGAAUGUAUACACAAAAUCCCAUCAAGUAUGUCACUAUUUUGUUCAACUUGUAUAUAACUAUCAUUUUUUUGGCAAUUAAAAAAGCAUGUAAUACUAGUCAGAAUUGUUUAAAUACAUUAAAACCAUUUAGUUACCAAAAGCAUUCGACUCAUCCCCAAUACAUACUGCAGUUAUAUAAAGAAUACAGAUAUGUACAUAUAUAUUACACGUAUACAUAUCUAACCUAUAUAAUUCAUUUUUUGUCUGUCUGUCUGUCUGUUUGUCCGUCUGCGUACGCUCUCUUCCGGGGGAUUUAGCUCUCGGACCGUGGGGUUCGCCGAGAUUAAAUUUUGCAGGUGGGCACGCCCCCGGCCCGUGGUAAACUUAGGCAUUUCCGAUUUUUCGUCUCUAAACUUUAAAUCGGACCGAUUAUCGAUUUAGUGCGAUUGCUCUUUAUUUAGUUAUAUAAUUAUUUAUUUAUUUAAUAUUGCCGGCCGGCGCAGACCACGGCGGUUGCCCCUGGCAACGGGUAGCAACAACUUCGCUGCGGGGUGGACGCCAUUUUGAAUUCCCGUUACAAAUAUGCGCACGCAUUAACACGCGAUUCUGAGCUGCUUUUGCCUCCGUGCGCCGAAAACUCGUCAGCGAUAAAUCCGGUCGCCUUGGGAGUGUGCGCGAUCGUUCCUGGGAAGCCCUAUCCAUCUGCCGGCGCGUUACUCACGCUGCUCACAGUGCAAUCAGCUCGGCUUCUCCUUCUGCCGAGCCCGGCCCGUCCGACCGCCGCCGCCGGCACCGCCGCCUCCGCCAGGUCCUGCCGCGCCUCCAUCCUGGGCGCUCGUCCCACCGCCGCUUCCACUGCCCGAGCCCCAGUCGUGACCCCGCAGUGUCUCGGCGGCCAGGCGGCAGGUCUCUAUUAUGUGCAGUAGAGACUCCACAAGUCCGUCGCACUCCCUCAUCUGCCUCCUCGCCUCCUCGCCAGCCGAGCUCAUAUUCCUACAGCCGUGAGACACACAAGCGAAGUGUUGCAACUACACGCGACGACAGCCUGACGCCACAGCUGUGCAUUGCCUCCACAGUUCUUGUGGGAUGCUAUGGCCAAACGCUACACUUAUACACCUGCUCGCUCUGUCGCAUGAACAGAACAAGCUGCCUUUUGGCAUCACAAUACAGGUCACUUUUGCACGACAUGCCAAAGAAAAUGCUAUUAUUUACCUGGAAGGCCUCACUAAGUCUUAAUACCCUUAUUCAGCAUUGGAAUAUUUGGUCAAAUCCACUUUUGCGUGUUUCAAGUGGUUGAAGGAAACAAGAAACACUCGGAUAAAAUCCAUGCAUACGAGAGGAUAGGACUCGAAACUCUGGACAGGCAGAUUUAAACCACAGACCAAUCAAUACAAUCCAGUGAGUGGACCAAAUCUAUGUGAGGACCAAACCUAUUGCUAUAUAUUGUUUCAUCUUUCGAUUUUAAGCUUUCGUGACUGCACAGGGAUUCAACUUCUUGGUUCUUUCGGUAAAGUCACGUGACUUUACCGAAAGAACCAAGAAGAUGUUUCAUCUUUGUUUUAUCUCUGGGUGUGUGCGCGUGUGUGUGCGCGUGUGCGUACCUCAGGCACCCAGU